UACAGAGGUCUCAAGCGUUGUUCGGAUUCAUUGGGCGUAAAGGGCGCGUAGGCGGCGGGGUAAGUCGGGUGUGAAAUCUCAGAGCUCAACUCUGAAACUGCACUCGAUACUGCUCUGCUUGAGGACUGGAGAGGAGACUGGAAUUCACGGUGUAGCAGUGAAAUGACGUAGAUAUCGUGAGGAAGACCAGUGGCGAAGGCGGGUCUCUGGACAGUUCCGUGACGCUGAGGCGCGGAAAGGCCAGGGGAGCAAAGCGG
rnacentral:rRNA from 1 species